UCUGUAAUUUCCCUUGGGAUCAAUAAAAUAUCUAUCUAUCUAAAUAUAAGACAAAACAAGAGCCAAACUGUGCACUUAUGCAAACACAACCUAAGUCCUGAUAGAACAUAGAAAGCCUACGGCACAAUGCAGGCCCUUCGGCCCACCAAUUUGUGCUGAACAUGUCCCUACCUUAGAAAUUACUAGGCUUACCUAUAGCCCUCUAUUUUUCUAAGCUCCAUGUACCCAUCCAUAAGUCUCUUAAAAGACCCUAUCGUAUCCGCCUCCACCACCGUUGCCAGCAGCCCAUUCCACGCACUCACCACUCUCUGAGUAAAAAACUUACCCUUGACAUCUCCUCUGUACCUACUCCCCAGCACCUUAAACCUGUGUCCUCUUGUGGCAACCAUUUCAGCCCUGGGAAAAAGCCUCUGACUACCCUCACGAUCAAUGCCCCUCAUCACCUUAUACACCUCUGACGAAGGGUCUCGGCCCAGAAGUUCGCUCUUUAUUCCCCUCCACAGAUGAUGCCUGUCGUGCCGAGUUCUUUGUGUGUUUCUUUGGAUUUCUAGCAUCUGCAGGAUCCCUUGUGUGUAACCUAAAGUGUCUUAUGGGUUUUGGCUUAAGGAGAGUUAAACUUUGCAUGUCAAAGGAGCAAGCUCUUGAUGUGGAAUGAUCGGCCCAGGAGCGACAGUGAGGGUGAAGCCCAAGUUAUAUAAACAGGGCUGCCUUUUCCUGCUGUUUUUUUGCUGUGCAGCUGCUGUGUGUGUUAAUCGCUGGCUUGAAGAGGGAAAUGUGCUCCAAACCUGCAAGCGGAUCACAGGCUGCGUGUGCUGCUGAUCUGCUGAUUUGUUUCCUCUGCUGUCUCAUCCAUCAGACCCUGGACAAGUGAGGAGGCAAAUGUGACUCCAGUCAGCAGGGCAGCUUUAAACCCGGCACUAAUUCCGCAUUUGGGCUAGCCCGGACUCCCAGUCUUGCUGAGGAAGAGGGCUGUGGGAGGUGGGGAGGUGUGCUUAUGGAGGACAGUCAAUAACAUGACUCUGCCUUCGAACAAACUUAAAGGUUAUUUUGGGGGGGACUUUCCAGAGUUUCAUCACAGAGCUCCAUACACUGUAAAUAAAACCUGUUUACCAGAAUGCAAACUCCAAAUGGGGCCCUUUUCACUGAAGCAAAAUGCCCCUCAAUUUGAGGAGUUUUUUUUUUGCUGAAGAAAUGAUUUUACUAAAAUUCAUUUUGUGGUUUCCCUUGGUUUUAGAGAGAAUUCAGAAAAUUACACUUCACACAAUAUUUAAUUCCCCCUGCACAGUGGUGAAUUAUUCAAUGGCUGAUCUAUAUUUGUUUGUUAAUAUCAGUUAACCAUGCAUUAAAGUGAAUCAUUGUAUGGUAAAUUCCACGUGAUUUUCUCAGCAUUGGUUCUGCAUAAAUACAACUCAUUUCCUUUUUCUUGGCCAGGUAGUGCAUUUACCAGUCUUUGGGCAAAUACUCUGGAAUCAGUAAGGUUUUGCGAGAUUGAUUGGUUUGAGAAACCAGUUUCAGUAUGUUUUUGAAGAAAAGGACAUGCUCCUGAAGUAUUAUUGAUUGGUUUGAGAAACCAGUUUCAGUACGUUUCUGAAUAAAAGUUCAUGCACCUGAAAUAUUAUUGAUCAGUUUCAGAAACCAGUUUCAGUACGUUUCUGAAGAAAAGGUCAUGCACCUGAAAUAUUAUUGAUCAGUUUCAGAAACCAGUUUCAGUAUGUUUCUGAAGAAAAGGUCAUGCACCUGAGGUAUUAUUGAUUGGUUUGAGAAACCACUUUCAGUAUGUUUUUGAAGAAAAGGACAUGCACCUGAAAUAUUAUUGAUUGGUUUGAGAAAUCAGUUUCAGUACGUUUCUGAAUAAAAGUUCAUGCACCUGAAAUAUUAACUCUGUAACGUGCUGCCAGUCUGCUGGGUGAUACUUGUUUUUGCUGCUUUAGUUUCAGAUUUCCACGGUAAGAAAUUUGAUGUAUUUGUAAAUUAUUAUUCAUUCAUUUUCUAGAUUGAAUUCACAAUCAUUUCUGAGCUGAUUUAAAACCUGGCAUGGGCACGGUCCCUGGAAAUCCAUCCUAACUUUCCCAGCAUGAGACAUCCAUUUCAUGUGGGCGACAUGGUAGCAUAGCUAGCAACAAUCGCCAUUCAAGGUUCAAUUCCCGCCACUGUCUGUAAGAAGUCUGUACGUUCUCCCCGUGACCCCAAGGCUUUCCUCAGGUGUUCCGGAUCCCUCCCACAAUCCAAAGACGUACGGGUUCAGAUUAGGGUUAGUAAAUUGUCGGCAUGCUAUUUUGGCAGCAGAGUGUGGUGAAACUUGAUGGCUGCCCACGGCACAAUCUUCGCUGAUUUGUUUUGACACAAAUGACUGAUGUUUUGAGCUAUAUCAAAUAAAUCUAAUCUUUUUAUCAUUCAUACCAGCCCGUGGCUAUUUCCAUUGUUCACCAAUAGAAAUUUGAUGUUAUAGGUGCAGCCUCUAACACACAAAAGCACCGAUGAGUCAGGUGAAUAUGAGCACUUUAUUCACCAAUCGAUUCCUUACAGCACUGCUAGUUAUCCCUCCUGCAUCAUUCACUGCAGAGAACACACACAAAGUUUAAAGUAACCAUAUGAAAGUGACCACCACAAUCAGGAUAAGUUGGUUAAAUCAGCAGCUUUAGACAUACAGCUGCUUUGGUAAGAUAUUAAAGUUAUUUUCAACCACAGGUACAUGCUGACAAUUGCGGAACGGGACUCUAAGCAGACUACUUGAAGAACCUAGUUUUGCGGUUUUGUUUUCGGAGCAGUGGAUGCUAAGGGGAUAUCAAAUAGUUUAUAAAAUAAUGAGGGGCACAGACAGAGGAGACAACCAGUAUCUUUAUUUAUUCUCAGGAUUAAAAUGUCCACGACUAGAGGGCAUGUAUUUAAGGUGAGAAGGAGUAAGUUCAAAGGAGAUUUUUUUUAAAACGCAGAGAGCGGUGGCUGCCUGGAAUGCGCUACCAGAGGAUGGCUCAAAGUUCAAAGUAAGCUUAUCAUCAAAGUACAUAUAUGUUACCCUGAGAUGCAUUUUCUUGCAGGCUUUCACAGUAGAACAAAGAAAUGCAAUAGAAUCAAUGAAAGACUACAUGCAAGGAAAGACUGAUGAGCAACCUGCGUGCAAAAGAAGAUGAACUGUGCAAAUACAAACAAACAAACAGACAUUAAAUGAAUAAGUAUUGUUGAAAACAUGAGUUGUAGAGUCCAUGGGUUGAGUUCAGUGUUGUGAGUGAAGUUGUCCACGCUGGUUCAGGAGCCUGAUGGUUGCCGGGUAAUAACUGUUCCUGAACCUGGUGGUGUGGGACCUAAAGCUCCUGUACCUUCUUCCCAAUGGCAGCAGCAAGAAGAGAGUAUGGACUGGAUGGUGGGGGGCGGGUGGUUCUUGAUAACGGAUGCUGCUUUCUUGCGGCAGGGUUCUUAGUCAACGUGCUCGUUGGCGGGGAGGGCUUUUUCUGUGACGAGCUGGGCUGUAUUCAUCACUUUUUAUAGGCUUUUCCAUUCUUGGGCAUUUCCAUACCAGGCUGAGGUGCAACCAGUCACGAUACUCACCAUGGUGCAUCAACAGAAGUUUUAGAAUACAUUAUGAAUCUGUGGAAACUUGUAAGAAAGUAGAGGUGAUGCCAUGCUUUCUUUGAAAUGGUCCCAGGACAGAUCCUCUGCUAUGAUAAUGCCCACCUCUCCACCUCAGGCUUCUGAGAGUCUCUUAGAUAGACACAUGAAUAUGGAGAGAUACGAACCAUGUGUAAGCAGAGGGUAUUAGCUUAAUUUGGUAACUUUGGCAUGAUUAGAUUGGCAGAGCAUUGUGGGCCAAAGAGCCUGUUUGUCUGCUAUACUGUUGUACGUUCUAUAUAUGUUCUCUGCUGGGGUGAAGGUGGGGGUGUGGGUAUGUGGGAUGUCAGAGAAGGGGUAGUGAUCCACAGAGUGACUUUCUUCCCCUUUACAGUUUCUCUUUUUAUCCUCACUAUAGCAGACAAAGCUACACCUAGAAGCCUCUGGGGGGAUUUCUUCCACGGCCUGUGGACUCAUUGAUGAAACAGCUGUGAUGCCCGGAGGUAGCUGCCAUCAGGAAAAAAGCUCAGGUAUUCACAGUAGAACAAUUAUGUGCAAUAUUAUUAAUGAAAAACAGCACGCAAACGAAGACUGACAAACAACUUAUGUGCAAAUGGAAACAAACUGUGCAAAUAUAACUACAAAAAGAAAAUAAUUCUGAGAACAUGAGAUGUACAGUCCUUGAAAGUGAGUCCAUAGACUGUGGAACCAGUUCAGUGUUGAGUCUGCGUUGGAAGAUGGUGGAUUGAAGGCUGACAUCAGAGGCCCUGAAUGUACAAAAUCCAAACUGACAGUCCACUACAGCUGUGCACUGUCAGAGGUGCUGUUCACUAGAUGAAACACAAAGCCAACGUGUGCUCUUUCUUAAUGUCGCACCAUUGGAAGAUGAGCUAGAGAUUUCUCCAAGUCCUGAUGAAAGGUUUCAGUUCAAGACGUCGACUGUUUAUUCCUCUCCAUAGAUGUUGCCUGACUUGCUGAGUUCCUUUAGUAUUUGUGUCUGUUGCUCAAGUUCCCUGUGUCCUAGUUGUCAUUCCUUUUUUUCAAUUCAAUUCUACACAGAAAACAAAUUUUCUCUUACCCCAUUUACUCUUUGGUGAGGUAAUAACAGCAACUACAUUUCAAAACGUUAUCCCUGGCUCUCAGAUGCUUUAUGGCAUUGCGAAGUUGUGAAGUAAGUUUAAUAAAUGGAAAUUAUGCAGGGGAGGUAAUGCAAAGCGACUUCAAGAUCAUCUCACAAAUCAGCUAUUAUCUCAAUAAAUGACUCAAAGAUUUUAGAAGAGCUAAGUGAGCAAUUUCUGUUCCUAACCUACUUGUGUAUUUUUCACCCCAGUGCAUGAACAAGUUUACUGUAUACCUCACCCAGAACUC